rnacentral:sRNA from 1 species
AAGCCACAUGGCUUCCUGAACAUCGGGGAUGUGUGUCUAUUGCCAGCUUGGCACUGAAAAUGCUCUAUCCCAAAUUUCUGCUUUGAAGAAGGCCUCCAGAACAUCUCUGGGGCAUGGAGGCAAUCCAAUCCAGAUCCUGCACCUGCCCACCCAGCUGGUCACCAAUUUUACAGGGGGUCCUGAUGACAACUUAAUUGAAGGUGGAGGAACAAAAUUUGUCUGCAAACCUGGAGCCAGAAAUAUUACUGUCAUAUUCCACCCAUUACUAAGAUUUAUUCAGGAGAUUGAGCAUGCCCUGGGUCUUGGCCCAGCCAAACAGUGUCCUCUUCGAGAGUUUCUUACCGUGUACAUCAAAAACAUCUUUCUCAAUCAAGUCUUGGCUGAGAUCAACAAGGAGAUUGAAGGAGUCACUAAAACAUCUGACCCUUUGAAGAUUCUGGCCAACGCAGACACCAUGAAGGUGCUGGGAGUGCAGCGGCCUCUCCUACAGAGCACAAUCAUUGUGGAGAAGACGGUGCAAGAUCUCCUGAACCUGAUGCAUGACUUGAGUGCAUAUUCAGAUCAAUUCCUCAACAUGGUGUGCGUGAAGCUCCAGGAGUACAAGGACACCUGCACUGCAGCUUACAGGGGUAUUGUCCAGUCAGAAGAAAAACUUGUCAUCAGUGCAUCCUGGGCAAAAGAUGAUGAUAUCAGCAGACUCUUGAAAUCUCUACCAAACUGGAUGAAUAUGGCUCAACCCAAACAGCUGAGGCCAAAAAGAGA